rnacentral:ncRNA from 2 species
AAAGAUAAAACCUCCGAGCCAUUCCGCCUGCAGGGCAAUCCAUGGCGAUUGGUCAAUAGGAUUCAGGCGAGAAAGCCUCAGCCUCCCGUGCUUGGAAAGGAGAUUUUAAUCCAGAAAA